AUUGAACGCUGGCGGCAGGCCUAACACAUGCAAGUCGAGCGAGCGGCGGACGGGUGAGUAAUGUCUGGGAAACUGCCUGAUGGCGGGGGAUAACUACUGGACACGGUAGCUAAUACCGCAUACCAUCAGAUGUGCCCAGUUGGGCUUAGCUAGUAGGUGGGGUAACGGCUCACCUAGGCGACGAUCCCUAGCUGGUCUGAGAGGAUGACCAGCCACACUGGAACUGAGACACGGACCAGCCUCCUUAGGGAGGCAGCAGUGGGGAAUAUUGCACAAUGGGCGCAAGCCUGAUGCAGCCAAGCCGCGUGUGUGAAGGAGGCCUUCGGGUUGUAAAGCACUGUCAGCGGGGAGGCGUUACCCGCAGAAGAAGCACCGGCGAACUCCGAGCCAGCAGCCGCGGUAAUU
rnacentral:rRNA from 1 species